rnacentral:lncRNA from 10 species
CCUGUUUCUUUUACAAAUCCCUCAAAAGACCAACCCCUGUGCUAAACAGCAUUGUCAGUCAUGGACAGAGAACCAGUUAACAAAUCAGCAUCAAAACAAGUCCACGGCACAUACAUAUGUGUGUGACUCUACAUGCGAAUGAAGACAUUCGGAUUGGUACUUAAUGCAUUUUAAUAGACCAGAAAAUUCAGAUUGGUACUUAAUGCAAUUCAAAAGUCCGAGUGCUGCAAACAGCCACCACCUUUUGGGGCCAUUUGGAGACCCUUAGUAUCAAGCAGACGGUAAGCGGCAGAGUCCCUAACAGAUUUGUGCUUCUGGCAACACUUUGUAAUAAGGAACAGGAAAGGAAUGUUGAGUGGCCAAUACUUCCUAGAAAGCAUUCUGGGACAAGAAAGGAAGGAAAGAACCUUGUGAAGAUCCUCGGGCACUCGAAUACAGCAGAAUGUGCAAGUUCAGGUCCAACAACCCGUUUUAUUCAGCUAGAGGCACCCAGGAAGUGUAUCACCUUGGGGAAGACAGCUGCCAUAUUGUGAGCAGCCCUAUAAAAAGACAAGGAAAGGAGGAAGACCUCCAGUCAACAGCCAGUGAAGAACUGAGGUUCUCAGCCUAUCAUCAACAACCAGAUAGGGAAACUGAAGCAUGGGAAACUUGAGUAAGUUACUUAAUGUCACUUGGAUAAUAAACAUCGGAGCCAGGAUUUGAAUCCAGGCAAAAGCCAAUCAGUCUUGUUCUCAAAUGCUAAUGUAAGUAAUUAAAAAUAACAUUAAUUGAAAUACUGCAGGGCUGUUAGGUUUUUAGAUGGUGAGUUAUUUUUUUUUCCUUCAUCUUAACCUUGUGGCAAUACUAAUUUACAUGACCAAUUAGGGAAGCACCCUUUGUAUGAUCCAUCUCUAGGAUAAAGAGCUGGGCUUUAAAAUCCAGCAAAGAACUGCAGAAGGCCACAGCACUGUAAGUAAGCUUGGGCGCCAGCAGCUAGAAUCUUUAUUUCACCUGGUAGACCAAACAUGACAGAUCGUCUUAUUUACAGUGUGAAUACUAAUUUUUUUGGUUUUGGUAACAAAAAUACAGUGCUCAUUUGUAUUGUUGUAAAACUUGUAAAUAUGCCCUGUAGGAUAAGUAAUAUUCGAAGCAACAUCCUAAUUAAAAGGAAAACUCAGUUGUCUUGCAAGAUAAUACAAAAGGGCACAUAAAUUGUAAAUAAGAUACAUGGUAAAAAUGAAAAAGACAGGCUGGAUAGGAAAGGAAUGAAAUAAGAUUCGGAAAUGUGCUUCUUAAAUGAACACAAAUUGUGAGAUAAUGUCUCACUGAACAAUAAAAAUAACAAACCAGUGGCAAAGAUGUAAUAGAAUUUCCUCUGUAUACCAUUUUAAUCUUAAUAUAAUUUUCCCCAGUGCAUCCACAUUUAUUGAACUACUACAACCAUUUCUUUCUCACUCUGUCCAAAGUUACUGAGAGUGUGUUUCUUUGCUGUAAAUAAUUCCCUGAUUAUGAACAUGAAAACGAUCCAGAAAUUGACCACAGUUUAUAAAAGAAAAAAAAUGACAGAGCAUCUGCUCAGGGCCAAAAGCCUUACAAGAAUGCCAAAAGCAUGUGCAGUUUCCUCAGGGAAGCAGGGGCUGCAUGCAAAAAACCAUUUUCCCUUCCUCCUGCAUAAGGCAACUCCACACCUCUAUUUCUUUGUUCCUGUCUUCAGAAAAUGCAGAGAAGACUUCCAUGGUACCUCAAACUACAGUUUGCCAUCAUGUGAGAAUAGGGCUGAUGCCAAGGGAAGUGCCAAGUCCAGUUAAUCAGAACCCAAAUGGCUUGAGAAAGAUGCACAACAGUAUGGCCUCAGUUUCUCAGUCUGCAAAAUGGGGAUGAUCAUAGUUAAACCUCUUAGCUUCAAGUCUAAUGGGUAACUAGGUGCUUACUGAAGUCUACUGAAAUAUGGAUGUGAAAGACCAAACUCCACAUACGUGAAGGGUUUGCUGGAGGGGAGACAUGGAGGCCAGAAGGAGCCCUGCCUCUACUCCUGACCCCUACCUUAGGAAGUUCAGUAAAAUGUCCAAUUCCAGUCAACCCCAUACCAAUCUCAGACAUUUCAACUACCGGGGUAAUAAAUCCCCACCCCACCUUUGCUUACACUGAGGUUGGUCAUUCACUUCAUGUAUUUUUUUCAUGAGGUUCUUAAGGUUCUAAACUUUAAAGAAACAUUCAAAAGUGGAAAUUAUGCCCUGCUUAUCACUUAGCUUUUAAUUUGGCACCACUCUGCCAAAUUAGGAAUCUGUUUUUUACUGAACAUCAACACUCAAAUACUUU